UACGUAGGGGGCAAGCGUUGUCCGGAAUCAUUGGGCGUAAAGCGCGUGUAGGCGGCCAGAUAAGUCCGUUCUGAAAGCCCGGGGCUCAACCCCGGGAGGCGGAUGGAUACUGUUUGGCUCGAGUCCGGAAGAGGCGAGUGGAAUUCCCGGUGUAGCGGUGAAAUGCGCAGAUAUCGGGAGGAACACCAAUGGCGAAGGCAGCUCGCUGGGACGGUACUGACGCUAAGGCGCGAAAGCGUGGGGAGCGAACAGG
rnacentral:rRNA from 1 species